GUUAAUGCCUAGCUACAGCAGUAAAGAUAAUGUGCGCAUAGAAGAUGCGGGAGCUUUUUUGUGGUCACAUAAAUUGCUAAAAAUAACAGCCAAAUUUCGAAUAAACCACACCCAAUAGUAUUAAAUAAAGGACACAUAAGAUCUGCUACUAUCUACCGAACCUUCACAAAGGAGAAUAGAGGGAGACAGGAAAAAGGAAAUUGUCCUACUUAUUUGAAGACUAUGAAAAUAUCUGCAAAACAUUUAAUUUAAUUUUUUCUUCGAUUUAAUUGAUUUUUCUUGUUUUACUCUUUGCUGAAAAAGUUGAAAAGACCGAAACCGGUACUAUAUGUAUUUCAUGAUAAAAUUAUUUUAGCGUUUUCUA